UACGUAGGGGGGCAAGCGUUGUCCGGAAUUAUUGGGCGUAAAGCGCGUGUAGGCGGCCAGAUAAGUCCGCUGUGAAAGUCCAGGGCUCAACCCUGGAAUGCCGGUGGAAACUGUCGGGCUAGAGUCCGGAAGAGGCGAGUGGAAUUCCUGGUGUAGCGGUGAAAUGCGCAGAUAUCAGGAGGAACACCAAUGGCGAAGGCAGCAUCUGGACGGUGACUGACGCUGAGACGCGAAAGCGUGGGGAGCAAACAGG
rnacentral:rRNA from 1 species